AUGUCUUCCCAGUGCCACCUACAAACUUCCAGCUGGAACAGUUACCUGAACAGAAGGCAGCUGAGAGCCUGUAGCACAAUGUGUUCACCUGGCAGAGAGCUGAUCUUGGAGCCGUUUCUCUGUUCCCUCCCAUCAGACUUCAGUUUCCUGACUCUGAAGGAUUGUUUCUUUUGGAUGCUUCAAAGCUUUGAGCAGUGUAACAAGAGCAGUAGUCUUCAUCUGCUAGUGUGGAACCAAAACUGGCAAUCUUACGCACGUUGUUCUGGAGUGGCAUGUCAUGUCACGGAGCUUCACAGAUGCUCACGAGAACACCGGUUACCAGGCAGACGUGUUGUCAGUGAACUGCAUUUCCAAAUAAUGUUUAUGCCAAAAGAAAGCUAUCAGGUUCACAACAUAUGUGAGGGGUUGAAUGUUUAAAGAUGGGCCACUCUGGCUUCUUUUCUUGCUUCACUGAGAGAGAACUACUCUUCUUCACUUGAAAAGGCAGAUACAGCUCUCUCUAACCUUACCAGAUUUUCUCCAAGCUGAUGCAGCUGCUAAAGUCAUCUGUGGGGGAAGCAAGGCAAAUGAAGGUGGAUGAGCAAUUAUCCCACCCCUGAUCUGAUGAGAGGGAGCAGGGUUGGCAUGCUGGAGACAGAUAUUAAACCAGAGAGCUGCAGCAUCAUAAAGGCAGUAUGAGGCUGCUCUUCCAACAUGGGUAGCUACUUUUGUUUCCCCAGUUUAGGUGCUAGUGCAGCAGAAGCAUUUCCAAGCAAGGCUUACUGGGAAAGAGAAAGUCUCCAUCUUUUGCCCUCCUGGUUCUCUUUCAUCAGAGAGCACUAAUUUGGACAUAAAAUGGAAAUCUUUGUGCAUCCAGAAUUUUGCCCAGCAGGCAGGAUAAAAGUAAAUAAAACACAAAACAAAACAAACCA
rnacentral:lncRNA from 14 species